rnacentral:rRNA from 1 species
UCGGGUGGAAUAGAUUUAACUUAGCGGCGGACGGGUGAGUAACGCGUGGGCAACCUACCCUGUACAGAGGAAUAACAAUGGGAAACCAUUGCUAAUACCUCAUAAUACCUUGAAAGGGCAUCCUUUUAAGGUCAAAGAAAUUCGGUAUAGGAUGGGCCCGCGUCUGAUUAGCUAGUUGGUAAGGUAAAAGCUUACCAAGGCGACGAUCAGUAGCCGGCCUGAGAGGGUGAUCGGCCACACUGGAACUGAGACACGGUCCAGACUCCUACGGGAGGCAGCAGUGGGGAAUAUUGCACAAUGGGGGAAACCCUGAUGCAGCAACGCCGCGUGAGCGAUGAAGGCCUUCGGGUCGUAAAGCUCUGUCCUAAGGGAAGAUAGUGACGGUACCUUACGAGGAAGCCCCGGCUAACUACGUGCCAGCAGCCGCGGUAAUACGUAGGGGGCAAGCGUUAUCCGGAAUCAUUGGGCGUGAAGGGUGCGUAUGCGGCCCUAUGGGUCAGAGGUUAAAGCUACGGCUCAACCGUAGUAUGCCUUUGAAACUGUAGGGC